ensembl:lncRNA
GGCUGCUCCUGCAGAUGCAUUUGGAGAGCAGAAUAGGUUUCCAGCUAUAGAAUGCAAUCGGGAACAGUCAGCAAUAUGGCAGUUCUGAGCUUACAAAGUGCCUUACCAGCAAGGCUUUUCACUACUCUGAGCCACUCCAGCAGAAAAUAAGGACACAAUUGCAACAGAAUUUUCCUUGAAUCAACGGAGGACUAUUACUUGAUGAGAUCAUUGUUUUCAGACAAUGAUUUAUGGGCAGCUGGAAUUUGCAUGCAUUGCUCCGAAUCUGUGGAAGAAUCUAUGUGGUUGUUCAUGGCCUUCAGAAACAUGGAUGCUGCAAAGCAGAGCUAUGGAGAAUAUGGAAAGCAGGCUCAAAAAGCAUCUGCAAAUCUGUGCCAAUAUUAUUGCCUCUGUCAUCAAGCAAUGGAAAGGUUUUUCUAGUUAAAUUCAAGUAAUUAAAUCUCCCUGCUCUCAUUAAAAAAAAUACAACUGUCUGCUGCUGGUCUGAAGAAUUGCACAGAGUGAACGUAAAUUUUAAUUUCAUGGUGCAAGUGUUAAAUUAUUGCCAUCUAAGCUGUCUGCCAGUGUUACAUGAAAUCCCACCACAUUUUAAUAAUUCUCCCUUUGUUUUGGAUGGAAAUACCACGUGUUGUGAUUUGGAAGUUUUUAUGUGCAAUUAGAGCCCUGAGAACUACAACAUAAUCACAUUCAAUUCACCUAAUUGGACAGCGAGGAAACUGUCAUUUCUGAAAUGGUUUGUGUCUUUUGGAAUGUCUGUGUGUAUACACAUGCGUAUAAAAUGAAACAUUUUCUCACCCAUCCUGUGUUAAAAUGUAAUAGAAACUCCUGCUAACUGAAGUUGAAGAUAUAGCUGGGUGUUCUUUAGUAACCUCAAAACAUAUACGUGUGCGUGUAAAUAAAAAACUGUCCUUCUAAACACAAGGAUCCUUCCCUCCUACUUACUUUGCAACAUCUUAGUAAGGAUUUGCCAUCAAUUCCCUCUCUUUACAGUGCAUUUGAUGACAUUUUACAGAUCAUCAUACUAAAUAAGUAAGAACCAUCCUCUGAUUUAGAAGAAAAACCUUUAUUUAUUUCAAUUUAUUUUGGGAGUUCAGAAGUAAUGACAAACUUGACAAUCUUCAUGACAAACAUGACAAUCUUCACAUCACUUUAAGCUGUGUGACCAAAAAGCCAUUAGCUUCACAGAAACAGACAAUACAUUUCAUCCUGAAACAACACUUAUGAUCAACAUUUAUGCAAUCUAUAGGUACUUCCUAUAUUUGUAUCAAUGCAAGUAAGAAGACAUGGAGUAUCAAACCAGCAAGGGCUUAGAAAUAUCAAGCCCAAGAGUUUACCCAUUUACUUCAGUGGAAAAUAGUGCUAGUAAAUAUCAAUACAUAUUUUAAUCUUUUAUUUCAGUAAUUUCCAUGUAAAAGCAAACAUAUUCUGCCAACUUUAUUCAUUGUCUUUGAUCUUUUUUUGAAGCAUAUUAUGAUAGAUUUCUGAAUCUUUUAAUUCAAUGUUGAAGUAGAUAUUAAGUAUAUCACAACACCAAUCCACACUAAAUAGAACUUUUGUUUUUUGUUCUUUUGCUGAAAUGUCUGACAGUAUUUCAAGAAUAAUUUAAUUAUGAACUUUAUAUUAACAAAAGACAAGUGAUUUUUUAUUCCAUUCAGUGUGGAAUAAGAUACUACCUAUAUUUGUUAAGCCCUGUGUAUCAACCAGAAUUUGCAAAGGGAAGUUAUCAACUUCAGAUACUCAUUCUCCAUUUCCCAUAAAUAUGUUAAAAAUACAAAGUCAGCUCCUAAGUUUUUCAUCAAAUAAACUAGCUUAUUAAGAUUAAGUGGCCUGAAACCACCAUCUGUGAGUUCACAUUUAUAUCUAGAAAACCUGUAUAAUCAUGUGUAUUGAGAGUAAGGCUUAGUGUUGGAAGGCCCAACCUUGUAAACAAGCUUUGUUUACACAAGAAGACAAUAGGACUCUUCUUUUGUUUCAGAGUUUACAUGUUCAGAGGCUGAGAUCACUAUUUUUGAAAUGUGAUGAUGGGAAUACAAAGUAAUUACCUUUAUGAAGGUUUUACAAAGAAUCCUGUAAGUAAAGCCCAUGACAGAAAUAUAUAGUGUCUCCAAAGAAACAAUUAUGAUGUAUUGUGUUUGAAUAAUAACUCAGAAUGUUUUAUCAUCAUCUGUUUACAUAAUAAGUCAUAAUAACUUUUCAAAAUAUGGUGCUUGCAUUUUUAUUAUUGUUUUAAGUGUACAUAGGGGAAUUACUACAGCCUAGAAUCAUAAACUUUGUAAAACUUUGUUGAAGACUGCAUUUUUAUUCCCAUCCUCUUCUGCUCAAACAAAAAUGUAAAGGAAACAACACACAAAUAAAAGUACGCUAAAAUAAUCCCAUGUGUCUGGCUAAAAGAAAAGACAGGAAAUUCUUAAAAGUGUGGUUAUAAACUGAAAAAUGCCUUUAAACAUGGCUUCCUACUGUCUCACAUUUAUAUAUUCAUAAUUAUUUCACUAUCAAUAUUUUCUUUGCUUAUAUGUACACAAAUUACAUUAUUCAACAUGCCAAGACCACAUUCUCAGUCUGAUAUCUGGAAUACAAAGCCCUGUUGUCACUGGCUUCUACUACAGUGUUAAAGAUGGAACUGAGAGAAAUUCCUAGAUUCCCUCUCCUGGAAACUUUAUGAUUUAAGCCUACUUCUGACCUUUAGCAAUAUUUCCUUGGGGAGACUGAGGUCCAAAUUAAACUUUCAGGAAUUACAAGAGAAAUUUCAAUGAACUCUAGAGAUGCCAGAAAGACAAAUGACAAAAGUAGUUAAAGCAAAAGUGCUGAGCACGUCUUAAGUGCUUCAAUUAGAACUCUUGUUCCCCACAGGAUGUUCCAGAAAGGUGUAGAGGUGCUCACAGACCCUCACAAUGGUUUCAGACAUCUAGCCCACAAAGUAGAAUCCAAAGCCAAGAUUAGAGAGCUGUUACCUACAGAGAACAGAUGAUGUUAUGUGAGAGGACUAACAAAGUAGAAACAUUAUGGAGUUAUCUAGAAUCUAACUCAUAAUUUUGAAAGUCAGAUAAUGCCAACCUAUGUAGUUGAGGCACUCUGUCACAGUGGAAGACUGUGGUUAUUUCCAUCCACUCAGUGUCCACAGACCAUCAAGGUAAUUCAAUUUUUGUUUCAAAGGCUCCGUUUUUUUAAAAAAACAUAACCACUGUUGAAGAUGAGAUGUUAAUAAUGGAACAUAGGAUUAUUCUUAGUUCUACUAUUUACUGAAAAAUAGACAUACAAACUGUGUGGGGCAAAGACAAAGGCCAGAAUCCUGCUUGCUCCAUAAAAAUUGUUUCCUUCCUCAUUUAUCUCCUUGAAUCUUAAUGAGUUUUGCAGUUGUAGUGCACAUCUGUACAGCUAUGUAGACUAGCCUGGGACCCAGUGGGUAAGGUGUGCCUCCUCAGAAAUUAGAGUUUAAAAUACCUGAGGUCAAAGCAGAUGUAAAAAGUUGUCUCCUUCUGAAAGGUUUCCAGUUUUAUUGGCAUAUACUACGUUUGUCUGAGUGCACUUUCCAGGUCUGUGCUAUAAGCUAACACUACCAUUUAUCUUCUGGAUUCCCAGACUGUUUAAGUCAGACAGAGGUACAUGCCCGCUUCACCCUGAGCCCUUCUGCGAAUGGUCAGAAACAGAAUACUGUGUGAUCUCAAAAAGAUUCAGAGCAAACAUGGAAGACAGUUAUGUUUAAAUGACACUCUGGUUGGGCAGGCACUGAACGCAGUAACAGUUUCAACAUAGACACCUUAAACCUUCCAGUAUUCUAUUUUAGGUUUGUUCUUCAUUCUUGCAUCACAGCAGGAGUUGUACCCUUUAUCAGUGUUGAUGUCUUCUUAAAAGAGGGUCUGUGACCGCAUUUGAAGUAUCUCUACUACCAGUUGUGGUGAUUUCACCCUGAUGUGCAGCUAAACUACUACAUCAUUCUCCUGUUACUCCUACUCAAAGGAAGAGGGGGAGAAAAUGAAAUGAAAAAAGGCUCAGGGUUUGAGAUUACCGUCACUGAUCAGUGAUUAUGAGAAUAAAUAAACAUAGUGUGGAAAAAUCUUUGUAUAGUCAUUAAAAUACCCAAGUGUGGCAUUCUAGUAGAGAUUUAAUAAGGAGAAGAAACUGACCCUCAGACUUAGGAAUUCAUUUUCUUUACUUUUCUACAAGGACAGACAUACAUCUCUCUAUCUAAUUUAUAUAUACAUACGUAUAUAUAAAGCAAAGCUUUUAAAGAAUUUUUAUUUAUCAUUGUAAAAUCUCUACUUAGAAUUGGAAAGAGAUAGAAAAAAAAAAAGUAGACUUUGAUUAUCACCUUGAUACAUCUAAGUGUUUACAGUGGGAGCUAAGCUGUAGCAUAGCAAUGUAAUAAAAAUAGAAAGUAAAGUGACGUAAAAAGUGCACUGAGGACUACCUUAUAACUAAUUCCAAACGUUCAAGAAUAGUAAAUGGUUAACAGUGAUGCAAAAGGAAAUUACAGAAAAAACAAUCAAAAAGGACUCCUAAACAAUGAAAGGAAACAAAAAAUUAAUAAAGCAGAAGACUGAAAAACAGAUAAGGAGAGCAAAACGGUGAAAGAUUUCACAGAAGAUUAUGAAAUUAGCACAAAAAAUUUUUAAACAAUCCUAAGAAUAAACUGUCAUUGAAGAACAGAAUAGGGAUUGUGGAGGAUCAUUUUUUAAGGGAUGAGGUAAAAAAAGAUGGAAAAUUUAAACAAAUUCUUCGCAUAGCUGUUCAGAAAGAAAUGUCAGCUCGCAGAGCUGUAGAAAUAUAGGUACAUAUUUUCUGGAGCAAAAGGAAGGAUAAAACACCUAAGUAAACACACACUGUAUGUGACAUAGUACAGAUGACAAUCUUAGCAUGUAUCACAUAAAAUAAUUUCUCAGUGCUAAAGCAUAUGCACUUCAGAAUUCACAGAAAGGGACAAAAAACAGCAUCACUCUUCACAAGACUAAUUUACAUCACUUCACCAUUCAGAUAACUUUUCCUUUUCAAAAUGUUGCUUUGAAGUCACAUGGGCUACUUACAUGACUGACAACUCUAGGACUGCAGUGAAAAAGAAGUUUCAGUGGAAUUAAAGAAAAAGUAACGGGAAGUGUGCAGGAGGUAUCUGUGCAAAGAAGGGCCCCAUGCAACUCCUCUCACAGCUUGCCUCUAAAAACUCAAGAACUGGGUUUAAAUGAGAGAAACACCUUGUCUUUCUGGCAAGUUUUAGCAAUGCCUUCUAUGCAGGAAAGCAAUUUGCUUCAAGACCAAACAGAAAUGCACACUGGUUAAGAGUGAUAUAUUACAAAAACAACAGAGUAUAGCUAAAUUCAGCAAAUUAUGAAGCAAUGGCUAUUUCAGUGAGAGUCAGAGAUUCGUCUAAUGAGAUCCAGGAGUUUCAGCUCUGAACAAAAAGUGAUGAAUUCAAGCUUAAAUUCCUACAAGUAACCCCUAUUCUACAUUAAAGGUAACCAUCCAUCACAUUUUUAACUACAUCUACAAGGGAGUUCAGUAACUUCAGUCUAAAAAAUUCAAAACACAGACAUAUUUUCAGCCAAAACAAAGCCAGAGCCAGCAGUAAUUUUAAUUCUUUUCACUAAGUAUUGUUCUGGCCAUAAGACUAUGUGUAAAAUGGAUGUGGUUGAAGCCACAAUGGACUGUAAGGUUUAUAGGAUGAACAAGUUGCUAAGGAAGAGCUUGCAUGCCUAAAAACUUACAUUAUUCCAGCUGGAGUGCAUCCUGUAACAACAGUACUUCUUUAUUCUUCCAUAUCUUCCCUAAAAAGCUGAGCGCUCUGGCUGAAGACAGGCCAGGAGAGGCGCAUGGAUGUUUGCCUUCUUCAUGUUGCCUGAAAACCUAGUCCUUGUCUCAUCUGGGAACAGGACAGUCAUGCCAAGUGGAUGCAUCUCCCUGCAUCUGUGGAGAGACAGCAAAUGUGCUGUCUGGAAAGUAUCUGUGUUCUAGGAGGUGAGAAACUGGCUUGGGCUGUUUGAUUUCACUUCUACUCAGAGAAAUGGGGCAAUGAACUUUCUAAUAAACAGGUUUGGUUCACAGAGGGAUGACUCCACCAUCGAUCAUUCCACCAGAGGAAUAACUCAAGAUUCGAAAAUUUUAACCAGAUAAUUUUAUCAAAAGAAUAAUAAAAAAAAAAAAAAAAAAAAAAAAAAAAAAAAGGACCAAGUAAUGACUUAAAACAAUUGCUGUGAUAUUACAUCUACAUAGGAUCUACUGGCCUAUAUGUCAGUUUUAAUCUGCCACUGGUUAAAUCCUACAUACUGAGCAAAAUAACUUACCAACACAAUACAUGCAAAGUAAAUAAAUACUCAAGCAACACUCUAUGUCCCACAUCCACUCAGAUACCAGAAGUGUGUAUUUCCAGUCUGUGAAAUACAAUGAUAAGUAAAAACAGUGAUUCUCCAUGAGUGCAUUACUCAGAAGAAGCAAUGUUAAGGCAGUCAGUGUGAUCUUUAAAAAUCACUCCCAGUAAAUAAAUAAAUAAGCACCUCUACCUGCACAGCUAUCUGAAGACAAGUUAACAAAUUCUGUUUUCCACUUAUUAGCAAAUCAGUUGUUCUGUAAAGAAUACAUGAUCAAAACCUACAGCAACAGCUGGCACAUGUAUAAAGCGGGGCAAAAAAAUUAAGAUGAAGUAUUUCUGACAAAAAAAUAUAUGAAACAAAACAAAGUUGAAAACUGAAGCAGAUAUCAGAUAACCAUUUUGUCAUUUAUAAAAUACUUUUUCAGGACAAAAGGGGUUGCCAUACCUUUUCACUCAGCAUAUCCUCAGAGUCACAUAUUAAGCUGAUCAAAUCCGAGGGUACUGCAGUAAGCUGAAGCUUGAAGCUGCCUCCACUUCCUUCAUUUCGUUUACAGUUUUGUUUGGGGGUUGUUCUUUUUUUUCUUUUUAGCUUGCAGAAACCUGAGGGAAAAAAAUAUUUUGGGGGUUACUAUCGAAAUAGUUUAUUCAGUAGUCAAUUAACUGAAAAAAACAAAUAGUUCUAAACUGAUCUCUUAUAUACCAUGCCCCUUUUUAUAUCAUAGUUAUUGGUUCCAUUCUGUUGUUAUAUUUUACUGAAAACAUUAUGAAUAUAAAUGAGAAUAGUGCACAAAGAGCAGAGGUGAAGAUAUGUCCCAUUAGAAAUCUGCUUUUUUACUUACAUUUACUGAGGUUAUCAAGUACCUCUUUAUGAACUCUUCAUCCCUUUCUAAAAGGUAAAGUUGAAAUUGGGAAAUAUAUUGCAUCAGUUAUUGGGCAUUCUGGGGUUUUCCAUUAUUUUAAAAACCUCCUAUGUGCCUAAUUAUAGCUAAUAAGUACUGUUUAGAAACAUAGCAGAGAACUCAUGAUUUCCUUCUUCACCCAAUGCCCAGAAAAUCCAUGUCCGAGAACAAAAUCUUGAAGGUAUUUGUGAUCAUGACCCAUUCUCAUUAUCUGUAUCCAUUCUAAGAUUUUUAUAUUAUAUGAAUGAAUAUUUUAAAGUGAAAUUAUAGUAUUCAAUGGCAAAUUACAACUACAUGUGACCAAGAGAGGAUUAAACCCAUCAUUUUGCUUAAGAGCUCUGAUGGCUGGAGUAAUUGGAUGAUAGCUGUAGGGCAUCUUUUUGGUCUGUAAUUAGGUCAUUUCUUUCUCAUCCCUUCACUGUGUGUAUAAUUACGAAUUAAUUUGAAAUCCCACUGUGAGUAAAGAAAGUCAGUUUAAUAUAACGGAAGUGCAAAAGCCACAAUAUAUUACUUUUUAAAAACUGCUUAUUUCAAAAUACUCAGUCUGGCCAAAAGUUAUAUCCCUAUGUACUGCAAGGCUUAUAUUUGGUUUCUUUGCUAACUUUGUACAAGUGCUGCUCUGAAAGUAAUGCCUCCUGUUUUAUUAUGUUGGUGUGCAAUGUCAGAGGUGGAUUUUGGUGGUACAUCAGGAGAGGUUGAACCUUCACACCAGUAUUCCACUACAUUUUGUUGCUGUGUGACAGAUGGCAGCAGAGGGUCAGUCUGACAAAAUGGCUUCUGACACGGAAGCAUCUGAGAAGAAAAGAUGUGGAACUGAAUUCCUCCAUGUGGUAAAAAAAUUGCAUCCAUUGACUUUCACUGAUGCUUGCUGAACAUUUAUGGAGAUCAAACAGUGGAUGUGAGCUCAGUGAGGUUGUGGGUAAUGUGUUUCAACAGCAGUGAUAGUGGCAGUGGUUCACCUCCACCGGUGCAAAUUUUUACAAGAACAGCAAGCAGGUUCUCGUUCAUCGUUGGCAAAAAUGCAUAGCUAAUGACAGUGAAUAUGCAGCAAAAUAAAGUUUGUAUUUGAGAAUUUUCUCUAUGAAAUAGUGUUAUUGUGCUCUUUGUAUUUGUUGCAGUUUCUAUGGAAAUAAACAGCAAGUAUUACUUUUGAAUCAAUCUACGUUCCUGGAUGUAUUUUCUCUCUUAAAAUAAAUGAAUUUUCAAAGCACCACACUUUGCUCCAGUAUCUGUCAGUAGGUGUCAACAGCACAAAAAGGUAGUGGAAAGAAAUAAAAAGUAACCAUGAGAGUCUUGACAGACAGUAUUAGCAUCAGAGAACUUAGAGGCCACUCUCAACACAGUCAACCAUUUUAUCCUUUAGUCCUGCCAUUAUUUCCUUCCACUGAAACUACCUUUCUGCUUUUACCCUGAAAGUGUUAAACACUG